AUUGAACGCUAGCGGGAUGCCUUACACAUGCAAGUCGAACGGAGUGGCGAACGGGUGCGUAAUGUAUCGGAACGUGCACAGUAGCGGGGGAUAACUACGCGAAAGCGUAGCUAAUACCGCAUACUAUUGGAGCGGCCGAUAUCGGAUUAGCUAGUUGGUGGGGUAACGGCUCACAAAGUCGAAGAGCCGUAGCUGGUUUGAGAGGACGACCAGCAACACUGGGACUGAGACACGGCCCAGACUCCUACGUGAGGCAGCAGUGGGGAAUAUUGGACAAUGGGGGAAACCCUGAGCCAGCCAUCCCGCGUGUGCGAUGAAGGCCUUCGGGUUGUAAAGCACUUUUAGCAGGAAGGCGGUACCUGCAGAAUAAGCACCGGCUAACUACGUGCCAGCAGCCGCGGUAAUUC
rnacentral:rRNA from 1 species